rnacentral:rRNA from 1 species
UACAGGGGGCUCGAGCGUUAGUCGGAAUCACUGGGCUUAAAGGGUGCGUAGGCGGUCCGCCAAGUGCUUUGUGAAAUCCCCGAGCUCAACUCGGGAACUGCAGGGCAAACUGGAGGACUUGAAGCAGGUAGGGGCUGGAAGAACAGUAGGUGGAGCGGUGAAAUGCGUAGAUAUCUACUGGAAUGCCGAUGGGGAAGCCGUCCAGCUGGGCCUGUCUUGACGCUGAGGCACGAAAGCGUGGGGAGCAAACAGG